GUGAGGAAUUUUGCACAAUGGAGGAAACUCUGAUGCAGCGACGCCGCGUGAAGGACGAAGGGGCUCUGCCUCGUAAACUUCUGUCGGAUGGGAAUAAAAGUUUGUUUUACGGACUGGGAAUGUACCAUCAAAGGAAAGACCGGCUAACUACGUGCCAGCAGCCGCGGUAAUACGUAGGGUCUUAGCGUUAUCCGGAAUUACUGGGUAUAAAGGGUGCGCAGGCGGGUCUGUGCGUCAAGGGUUAAAGACCUCGGCUCAACCGAGGAAGUGCCCUUGAAACGGCGGAUCUUGAGUGUGAGAGAGGAAGGUAGAAUUCCUGGUGUAGUAGUGAAAUACGUAGAUAUCAGGAGGAAUACCAGUGGCGAAGGCGGCCUUCUGGCUCAUUACUGACGCUCAUGCACGAAAGCGUGGGGAGCAAACAGGAUUAGAUACCCUAGUAGUCC
rnacentral:rRNA from 1 species